rnacentral:lncRNA from 14 species
UCUUGUUUCAAAAUACAGACAGCUAUAGCCAAAACACAAAUUCAGCCUUUAUGUUGAGAAAUGUUAAAUCCAGAGGAGGAUUUCCUAUUGUGCAGUCUACAGCUGUGGGCUAAAGUGUCCCACAACGAGACGCAGCAUGGGUGCAGUCCACAGCUCCAGCACAAAUCCAGCUCAUGUCCUGGCCAGAGAAGAAAAUUCCUAGCUAUCCUGUAACUACCACAUGACUGCAUCUGUCACAAAUACCGAACUAUGCAGGAGAAAAUCUGGGACUGGAAACUUGAACCAUCAUUCAGAACUUGAGACAAACGAGGUGCGACGUCCGCAGCAGCAGUUAUGUCUACUAGCCCCAGCAGCAGCAGCAGUGACAGCAGAGCCAUGCCAGGGGUCACAUAAUGCUUCAGCACUGAAAGAGGACAGACUGACAAGGAAGAGACUCCACACAGCACGGGCUCAUGAAUCAGCCUCUCCUGAAAGUCACACUGGGAAUGGGUCAAUUCAUAAGUAAGGGUAUCUGUUGCUCUCUCUGUCCUAUCAUGGAGGGUAAUGAGCUGCCCUUUAGGGUCCUUGAUUUUAAGGCAUCUUUAUCAAGUUUGUAAAACAAAGCAGGUCUCUAUUUCUGCAGUAAAGGCAAUGAUUAAACCACUGACACAUACAGUUCCUGCAUUGCCUUUGAAGCAUUUUUGCAACAGUUUCCCAUUUUAGAAGAAACACUAAAUCUGGUGACUGUCAGAGGGCCUUUAUGAGGCAGUCAUACAGAGACUUUAAGGCAUGACGGGACAACAGAUACUGAACUCAUUAAAGCUAGAAAUUAGCGAGGUUUUAUUUAGCAGCCCCUAUGACUCUAACAAAUGUGAGGAGAUGCACUCAGAUGUGGCAAUGUGUGCCAUGAAAACACUGUGAUUCUGAGAAGCAAAGGGCAUACUCACAUAAUGCAGGUGGGGGGGGGGAUGACGGGGACCAGACCUACACCAUUUUACCCUGCAAGUCUGGGGAAAUGACAAAAUUCCCAGAUCAGGUUGGUAAGGUUUUUUUGUAUUAAAUACAACAACCAAACAAGGGAUACUGAGACUUUAUGUAGAUCAUGGAGGGUACAAAACAUACCUUCUUUUUUUAAUCAUCCAAAUGCAUACUCCCCAACAAAACCUGCAAAAUUUACCAUUCUACCAAUGUAUCCUAAUAACUUUUUCUGUUUAGUUACUGAAUACCAACAGUGCACUCAGCACUGUGUAGUCACAUAAAUUCACAUUACCUCUCCCCCAAAAACUUCAUGAUCUAGCACAACUAUGCUUUGAAAGUUGUCACUUAUAUGAGGCCACACGCUUGUUUCCUAAAUUCCUCACUUUUGAGCAUUUAAAUUCUCAAAUAUAACNNNNNNNNNNNNNNNNNNNNGGAGCAGAAGGAAAAAAUCCCACACAAGCAAAUCCACUCCCACU